rnacentral:rRNA from 1 species
AGCCUGGUGCCAGCGGCCGCGGUAAUUCCAGCUCCAAUAGCGUAUAUUAAAGUUGUUGCAGUUAAAAAGCUCGUAGUUGAAUUUUUACGGGUCUCGUGCAAAUCGCGUCAUUCGCUUUCUGCCGCAGACUUCCGUACCAAUACUUGAGGACAGGACUUGUUCCCGUUUUUCAAGUCGUUUACUUUGAGCAAAUUAGAGUGUUCAAAGCAGGCUAACGCAAUUGUAUACAUCAGCAUGGAAUAAUAGAAUCUGACUUCGGUCUUAUUUGGUUUGAGGACUGAAGUAAUGAUUAAUAGGGACAGUUGGGGGCAUUAGUAUUUGACUGUCAGAGGUGAAAUUCUUGGAUUCGUUAAAGACUGACUACUGCGAAAGCAUUUGCCAAGGAUGUUUUCAUUAAUCAAGAACGAAAGUUAGGGGAUCGAAGACGAUCAGACACCGUCCUAGUCCUAACCAUAAACUAUGCCGACUAGGGAUUGGAAGUGUUUCUUUAAGCGACUCCUUCAGCACCUUAUGAGAAAUCAAAGUCUUUGGGUUCCGGGGGGAGUACGCGUCGCAAGGCUGAAACUUAAAGGAAUUGACGGAAGGGCACCACCAGAUGUGGAGCCUGCGGCUUAAUUUGACCCAACACGGGGAAACUUACCAGGUCCAGACACAGUAAGGAUUGACAGAUUGAGAGCUCUUUCUUGAUCCUGUGGGUGGUGGUGCAUGGCCGUUCUUAGUUGGUGGAGUGAUUUGUCUGGUUUAUUCCGAUAACGAACGAGACCUUAACCUACUAAAUAGAACAUGAAAUGCUUGCAUUUCAUGCGUCUUCUUAGAGGGACAAUCGGUGUUAAACCGGUGGAAGCUUGAGGCAAUAACAGGUCUGUGAUGCCCUUCGAUGUUCUGGGCGGCACGCGCGCUACACUGACGAUGGCAACGAGUUCUUUCUUCGGAAGAAGCGAGAAAUCUUUUAAACAUCGUCGUGCUGGGGAUUGAUCAUUGCAAUUUUUGAUCAUGAACGAGGAACAUCUAGUAAGCGUACGUCAUCAACGUACGCUGAUUACGUCCCUGCCCUUUGUACACACCGCCCGUCGCUCCUACCGAUUGAAUGUCACAGUGAGCUCUUCGGAGGGUGAAAGGUAGCUAGUUCGCUAGCACGCCUUUCGUCCAAAGUUGAACAAACUCGA